ACGUCUUUAAGCUUUACGGUUAUUUUAUGUUAAAUGUAUACUAAUUGUUAAGCUAUUAUGUUUCCAUUGUUAAUCAUCUUUUAUGCUCAUUAAUAGUUCCUGUGUUAAGUGUGGUCGGUUCAUUUACUGAAAAGUCUGUUCUGUAAUCAAAGGUUUCUAGUUUAACUGUAAUGGCUUUCCUUUUUUCUUAUAUUUUUAUGCAAUAGAUUUCACAUUCUGGACUUCGAUGACUUUAUUUUGAAAUGGUUGUUGUUUUUUACAAGCAUGUUGUAGUUGAAAGUCACCAAGAAGAGCUCAUCAUGAAGGAAACAAGAAAAAUGUCUAACUCAAUGAAAGUAAAUGUCAUUUAUUAUCAUAAUGACGAUCAAGACAUAACCGAUAACCAAGUUAGAUGAUGCCACCGACAUGUUCCUAAUGUUAAAAGUUAAAAGUACUGACUACUUUACUAACUGGAAUCUACACACGGUUUAAAGCUAAAGAAAGAAAGAGAAACCUAAAGCGUUGUCAAAGUCAAGCCUUUUUUGCCAAAAAUGUAUACCAAUGGUGGAAAUCUUAUCGGCAAAAGUAAACAACUUUGUCCAAUAAAGUCUAAACAAGAAAAACGUUUUGUUACCCGUUAGCAAAAUAUUAUCUUUAAAAUGGAGAAAAGACUAUCAUAAUCAUUUUUUGGCGGGAUAUGAGUGAUUUAUUAAUAGGAUGAAAUAACUAUCGAUAAUGGGUUGGCCAAAUUUUCAUGAAAUGUUCUGAAUUAAACUGAAAGUUUAGCUGAAAGUUUAUUGGCGUACACAAGACCAUUGCAGGAAGCCUUUUUGACCGGACAAGUGUGACUUUGUUAGCAUGAAAGUUUCUCCUUGUAUGGCUCUUGACUUGCUUAGGCAAUGAAACAAAAAAUUUAAUGUUGAUUAGUCUCUCUUUAUGGAGUUUUUUACUCUUUAUGGUUUGAUAUAGCUUGACCAUAUGAUGAACUAAAUGGUGAUCAUUAUGGGAUAAAGGUGAUGAAGAUGCUCAAAUAACAGUACAAGAACGGUAGCAUUGUCAGUAUGUUGUUUACCAUAAUGACCACGGAUACACACUGGUCAAGACUCGGCAGGAGGUAAAGAUCACCCAACAUUGAUUAUCCAUAUUGGGUAACUUUGUAGUCACUCAAGUUCCAAUUAUUGGUCUUGUAAAGUUUUACCCUAAAGGCAAAAGUCAACUUUGACCAAUAUUUCAAAAUGAAAUUACCAAAACUUCAAACAUCCCAUUGAUUAGUUGGAAAUAAAUCUCCGUAAAGGUGUCGAAGCUGUUGCUGGCCUUCAUAUUACAUGAUACGUUUUCACGCCAAUGAAUCAACCUUUAAAAUCAAUCAACUUCAUUACACUGUUUGGUGUCUAAAAGUGGAAUAUUAUCUAACAUUACUGGACAUUAUCAUUGACCAUUAAGUUUCUCCCAUCGAGUUAUGUAGACCAUUUCACUUCAAUCAAAGUUGAAUCAAUUUUGACGGUAAACAAAUGGAGAAAAGGCCAUUUUCGUUGCAUUUUUGCUUGAACCUUAUGCUAACCAAACCCUAAGAUCAUAAUCAUUAUGAAUGAUUUUAAUGAUGAACUUGACGAUGAGCAAGCCUGUUGAAGGAUUGAGAUGCUAUUAAUGAUGAUAUAAAAUGGUUCAAUUGUGCUUUGGUUCAUCCUUUGGUGGAAGCAAAAAAUCUAAAUGAGAAGAGCUGAAAGGAUGCAAAAAAGGCAACUCUUUGAUCACUAAUUAACUUAUGAUGGUGAUGAGACACAAUUAAUGGAAAGCUACUUGAUCGUAUUGAUAAUGAUGUUAAAAAGGUUGAAAAUAGUUUUACGGAAAAAGUUGGUUUCUUUUUGGGAUCAAAAGGUUUGGCCCCUUGUCAACAGACCUUAAUUUGUUUGAUAAUCUUGAUUAUCUUAAUGAUGGGAAAGGGUUAACAGCAUUCAGGUUAUGCGGUUUAUUUUUGUUGUUGUUUCGUUUUAACACUGUUAGAGAUUAAUUAGGUUUUACCUUGUUUAAUCAUAAUCAAACCUUACAACGUUAAUUAUGCUGCUUGUAACAACACAAUGUAUCAACCAUUGAAUACACCCAACAUCAGAAUGUUCAACUUGAAAUGUUUUCCUGAUCAAACUGUAUAACCAUGUUUAGCCAAUUACAUUACCCUGAUUAAGUGUAUUUGAAUGGCCUAAAGAAGAGCAAAUCAAAUUGAAUUGACUUGCAAUAACAUGACAACUCUGUAACAUUUGAAGCCUACUUUUGUUCAGACUCGCCAAGAAAUGAUAUUCAUUCAAAGUUUUAUCCAAAAUGUUUGAAAAUUUACUUUAACA